UACGUAGGGGGCUAGCGUUGUCCGGAAUCAUUGGGCGUAAAGCGCGUGUAGGCGGUCCGGUAAGUCCGCUGUGAAAGUCGGGGGCUCAACCCUCGGAUGCCGGUGGAUACUGUCGGGCUUGAGUACGGAAGAGGCGAGUGGAAUUCCUGGUGUAGCGGUGAAAUGCGCAGAUAUCAGGAGGAACACCGGUGGCGAAGGCGGGUCUCGUGGGCCGAUGACUGACGCUGAGGAGCGAAAGCAUGGGUAGCGAACAGG
rnacentral:rRNA from 1 species